UGCCAGAUUCAGAUAACUCAUCUCUCAGUUACUUUGUCAAGACAAAGAAGCCUGUGGAUCAGAAGGAUAAAAUGGAAGAGGAAAACAAAUCAGAACCCCGUUUAGCUGGGGACACUCAAUGUGGAGGAGGCACAGAUUUGACUUUGAAAUUUAGGAUGCCUUGCACUCAGCAACUAACACAGGACACAGCACACAAGGGGGCCUCAACUGAAAAAUGAAAAUCAAGGACUUAUUCCUGGGCACCAAAGGUAGGUCUGACCAACCCCUUCACUCACUAACCAGUUUCCAGUGUGACCAAGACAGAGAACACAGGACAGAAAC
rnacentral:lncRNA from 1 species